rnacentral:lncRNA from 1 species
UGAGGGCCAAACAGGGGCUAAAUGGCGAGACGUGGGCCCAAUUCAGAGACUAAUGGUCAAGAGGUGAUCGAUGAGGAGCCAUAGUGGUGGAGUCCACCGGUCGAGGCAGCAAUGCUAAGUUUUCUACCUAAGGUCGUCCCCAAUAGGGUUGCAUCGAGAGGUUCAGCGCUAGGCUUUCCACCUACAUCUUCUUCUUCCUUCUUAUUAUUUCUUCUCUCUUUUCCCCUUUACCUUCUUUCUUUUUUUUUCCUGUUUCUGUAACAAUUAAUCUAAAUGGAUAAGGCUGAGUAGGGAUGUCAAAUGGAUCGAGUUGCUCGUCGGCUCAGGCCCAUCAAAUGACGAACCCAAGCCGAGCAGGGGCUCAAUCCCACGAGCUGAGCUUGCUCGACUCGUUAAGCCCGUGAGCGGCUCGUGGGAUGUGUGCCCACGAUCCAAAGUUCACGAAGCCCAUGAGCCGCUCACGUGGGCUCGUAAAAAAUGUGCAAAUUUACAAAAAAAAUUAAAAAAAUUACGAGUUUGCGAGCGGUUCAUGGGCUCCACUCAACCCACUAGCGGGUAGCUCGUGAGCUCACGAGCUUGCCACGAGCGAGAGCAGAGCUCGUGGAUUAAAGGGUCGAGCUAACUCGACUCGAUUCAUUGCCAUCCCUAUGGCUAAGUGACAACGUUUGGUGAUAGGAUUUUAAAAACAAUCGACGUGACACUGGAAUAAGGAGGGAAAAAAAGUUGACUUGCUUGAUUGAAAACCAUUACACCCCUAAGUCCUGACCAUCAACGCCCAGCAAUGGUCACUCCGAUCUCGUCAAAUUUCGGCCAAUCUAUGUGAGCUCAUCCACUCCUCAUUCUUAAUUUGCGCCUCAUUCUCGCGUUCAAGUCAUCUUCGACCAGACGUUUUAGAGGCUACUACACAUAGUGAAGAAGAGUAAAGCUCCACUUUCCCCAAAUCCCUAUAGGUAUCAUCACUCUUGUGGCUUGACAUAUUUAUAAUUUUGUUUAGCAAACUGCGGCUUGUUAUAUACCGUAAAGUUAGAUGAUUGUCGCUGUUGUCCAAAAUGAGACUUUAGCUCUAUGCUGUAAUGUUGCUUAGGAAGCUAAUUACUUGGUCUUUAAACUUCGAUUGUAUGAGAUUUCUAUUGAAAAUGAAAUUUAGCUAUUUUUGUCUUUUUAUAUUGAAAUUUAACAAAUAUAUGUCCUAAGACUUGGCAUUAUUACUAUUUAACAAUGUUAUUAAAAUUGACCCGACCAGUCGGCCUGGUUCAAUCAGUAAAAUCGAAAACCGGGCCUAAAAUCGGGUCAGUUAUAUGUUAAUAAUCAG